rnacentral:tRNA from 1 species
AAAGGCUUUAAGUUAAAUUAAACUUUUAGCCUUCAAAGCUAAUUAUAAAGAAUAUCUUUAAGUCUUA